AUUAAGUCAGUGUGACCCUAUUAUACUGAUUAAUUAUUUUCUUUAAAUCUAUGGGUGAAAAAUGUUUCUUUAAGAACAUUUUGUUCAAAAAGCAAAUACACCUCGGUUCCUGAGACGUCCCACGGAAGUCAUUACAGGAUAUAGGCCUAAGUCCCUCGGACGUCCCGGAACGUCCCCAUAUGUACGUGCGACGUCCAUGGGAUAUACUUUUGAGACUGUUCGGGCUAUGUAAGGGAUGAUCCUGUAAAGGUCAUUUCGGACAUCACUGGGAUUAUAGCCUGGUUGUUUAGAGAAGAUAUGUGAAACGUUCUUACGUCAAUAGUCAACCGUAAAAUUAUUGCUAGGAUCAAAUAUGUAUAAAGUAACAAAAAACUUUCUAAAAACGUU